UACAGGGGGUGCAAACGUUGCUCGGAAUCAUUGGGCGUAAAGCGCACGUAGGCGGUUCGUUAUGUCGGAUGUGAAAGCCCUUGGCUUAACCGAGGAAGUGCAUCCGAAACUGGCGAGCUAGAGUACGAAAGAGGAUCGCGGAAUUCCCGGUGUAGAGGUGAAAUUCGUAGAGAUCCGGAAGAACACCGGUGGCGAAGGCGGUCUGCUGGGCAGUAGCUGACACUGAGGCGCGACAGCGUGGGGAGCAAACAGG
rnacentral:rRNA from 1 species